CCAGAGCUCCUACGGGAGGCAGCAGUGAGGAAUAUUGGUCAAUGGGCGAGAGCCUGAACCAGCCAAGUAGCGUGAAGGAUGACUGCCCUAUGGGUUGUAAACUUCUUUUAUAAAGGAAUAAAGUCGGGUAUGCAUACCGUUUGCAUGUACUUUAUGAAUAAGGAUCGGCUAACUCCGUGC
rnacentral:rRNA from 1 species